rnacentral:snRNA from 8 species
UCUGAUACGUCCCCCAUCGGGGGACUACAUAUUAAAUGGAUUUUUCGAACAGGGAGUCGGAAAUGGGGCUUGCUCCGUCCGCUCCACGCAUCGACCCGGUAUUGCAGUACCUCCGGGAACGGUGCAACACUU